GGAAGUAAAAGUCGUAACAAAGUUUCCGUAGGCGAACCUGCGGAAGGAUCAUUAUUGUAUAACCGAGGUGCGAGGGCUGUCGCUGACCCGAAAGGUCGUGCACGCCCGAGUGCCCUCACACACAUCCAUCUCACCCCUAUGUGCACCACCGCGUGGGUCCCCCUUUGGCUUGUUCGGAGGGGGGCUUACGUUUUCACACAAACUUUGUAUGCAGUGUAGAAUGUAUUUUUUGUUCUUGCGAUCACGCAAUCAAUACAACUUUCAACAACGGAUCUCUUGGCUCUC
rnacentral:misc_RNA from 1 species